rnacentral:rRNA from 1 species
AUUGAACGCUGGCGGCAGGCCUAACACAUGCAAGUCGAGCGGAAACGAGUUAUCUGAACCUUCGGGGAACGAUAACGGCGUCGAGCGGCGGACGGGUGAGUAAUGCCUAGGAAAUUGCCCUGAUGUGGGGGAUAACCAUUGGAAACGAUGGCUAAUACCGCAUAAUACCUACGGGUCAAAGAGGGGGACCUUCGGGCCUCUCGCGUCAGGAUAUGCCUAGGUGGGAUUAGCUAGUUGGUGAGGUAAUGGCUCACCAAGGCGACGAUCCCUAGCUGGUCUGAGAGGAUGAUCAGCCACACUGGAACUGAGACACGGUCCAGACUCCUACGGGAGGCAGCAGUGGGGAAUAUUGCACAAUGGGCGCAAGCCUGAUGCAGCCAUGCCGCGUGUGUGAAGAAGGCCUUCGGGUUGUAAAGCACUUUCAGUCGUGAGGAAGGUAGUGUAGUUAAUAGCUGCAUUAUUUGACGUUAGCGACAGAAGAAGCACCGGCUAACUCCGUGCCAGCAGCCGCGGUAAUACGGAGGGUGCGAGCGUUAAUCGGAAUUACUGGGCGUAAAGCGCAUGCAGGUGGUUUGUUAAGUCAGAUGUGAAAGCCCGGGGCUCAACCUCGGAAUAGCAUUUGAAACUGG